ensembl:lincRNA
AGCAGGCGCACACGUGUGUAGAAACGCCACAGAGCAGAGAGGGCGGAAGGGAAGAAACAGGGCGAAGGACAGGAGGAGAGUUGAAGGGUGGGUGGCCAAGGAGGGCCUCACUGCAUAGGAGGCAUUUGAAGGCAAUGAGGGGGUGAGGCUCUGAGCUGUGAGGGCAGAGUGCGCUCCAAGUGGGUCUGGGGGGAGAGGGGGCAUGGCUGCUGGAGGAAGAGCCUGGAGACUGGUGUAGCUGGACUGUGAAGAAUGGAGUCCGAGCUCGGGAGGUGGGGGUUAGGAGGAGAUCGGUGAGGCCUCGUGGCCGCCAUGAGGACUUUGGCUUUGCCUCUGAGUAAGGUGAGAGCCAUGGGAGGGUGUGGAGCAAGGGGUGAGGUCCGGCUUUGGUGUUGACAGGAUCCUUCUGGGGGCUGCUGGGGCAGAAGCAGGGAGAACAGGAAGGAAUAGUCCCGGCAGGAGGUUAUGGGGGCUGGACCGAGGGGCAGCAGCGGCGCUGGCAGAAGGUGCUUAGACGCUCCAGAGAUUUCGAAGGUCAAGCCAGCAGAGGGGGUGCGGGGGCGGGACACGUGAAGGAGCGAUGCCCACGCCGCCGGGAUCGGUGCCGGCACCUGGAAUACAGAAGGGCCGUUUCCUGCGAUGGGGAAGAUGAGAAGCCUGAGGCCAGAAAGCAGCAGCAACUGGUGACAUCCCAGCCCUUGUCUUUGCCCGCAAAGAAUGGAGGCCUGGAAUUCCUACCAGAAGAUACAGAAACAACCAACAUGCAUAGACAAGCUGCUUGGAGGCCAGGAUGUCCAAACAGAGAAAUAUCUUUUCCCACCAACCAGGUAAAAAGCAAGAAUACCAACAGCUGCUGGGCUGAGGCCCCCUCCUAGCUCCCAAGGCGGGUCCCCGUGGGCACCGCAGCUGGCACACGGCUUGUCGGUGGGAAUCGAGCUCAGAAUCCUGUGGAGCCUCAGUCCAGUGGCUGUACUCCCAGGAAUUUAUAGCUAAAAGGGGCCAACAGGAUAAGUGGUGGGUAAGCAUGCUUAUUUAGGGUGGUGAGAUUCUAGAAGUUUCCCUCGGGGCCUGGCUCUGCAGGCAGAUUGGGAGGGAGCUCCAGUUCCAAGUUGGCCAUGUGUGACCUAGGCAACUGACCUGUUUCCUCAUCUGGGAGAUGGGAAUCAUGGCUACACUGAUCCCCGUGCAUCAGCCCACCAUAGGGGGCCUUCACCCCAGGGCCUGUCAGGAGCCCACAGAGGACAGACUUACAUGAAGGAAAAGCAAUCUUUUUAUUUUUUUUAAAAUGAGGUUGAACACUUUUAUUUUUUUUAAGAUUUAUUUAUUUAUUUAUUUGACGGACAGAGAUCACAAGUACGCAGAGAGGCAGGCGGAGAGGAGAGAGAGGUGGAAGCAGGCUCUCUGAGAGCCCGAUGCGGGGCUCGAUCCCAGCACCCCAGGACCAUGACCCGAGCCAAAGGCAGAGGCCUUAACACGCUGAGCCACCCAGGCGCCCCAAAAAGCAAUCUUUUGAUGUGAGGAGGUUAUUAGCAGUCUUGACAAAUGGAGCUGAAAAAGCUCUCUGGGACUCAGUUUCCCUUUCAAACAAAGGAAAAUUGGUGUUGGGAGCUCCCAUGGGGUAGCUCCUAGGCUCUCCCCAGUGGCCCUCCGUCCUGACCCCCUGCCUUCCCUCACCCCAGCUCUGAGAGCUGAGCCAGGAGUCACCAGCUCAGGCAAGAGAAGGCUGGAGAGGGGGAGGAGAAGCGAACCACCCACCGCCUCCACCCCAGGCCUUGGCCCUCUGGCUCCAGCGAAGGCCUGGGGAGGAUGGGGGUUUAUCUCACACACCUCUAGGGAGGGGCC